GGCAAGAUGGCCGAGCGGUCUAAGGCGCCAGACUCAAGUCAAACUUGUCUCUCCACCAGGAGAGGUCUAUUCUGGUCACGAAAGUGGCAGGGGUUCGAAUCCCCUUCUUGUCA